UACGUAGGGACCAAGCGUUGUCCGGAAUCAUUGGGCGUAAAGCGCGCGUAGGCGGCCCGGUAAGUCCGUUGUAAAAGUCAAAGGCUCAACCUUUGAAUGCCGAUGGAUACUGCCGGGCUAGAGUCCGGAAGAGGCGAGUAGAAUUCCUGGUGUAGCGGUGGAAUGCGCAGAUAUCAGGAGGAACACCAGUGGCGAAGGCGACUACCUGGCCUGUUCUUGACGCUGAGGCGCGAAAGCUAGGGGAGCAAACAGG
rnacentral:rRNA from 1 species